UUUACGCAUUGCUUUGUGUUGUGUUUAAGGGUAGAAGGAAAUAAAGUAAAUGUAAAAGGUAGUAGUAAUACAACACAAUGCAACACACACAGGGCUACAGUUUGUGGAGUAAUAUGGCGGGAGAGUUUGUGGCUGGUAUUGCAAACUCAGAACUUUUUUUUAACAUUUCACAACUACUUUAACACAAACAGUUUUGUCUCUUAACCUCCAGAUAUUUCCUGCUCUAUAGCCUGCGUGUUAUCUUCCCCCUUUUACUUCCUCCUCAUGCUGGUAGCUUAUUAGUGAUCACACACAUUCUGUCCGCUUCACACAAACACUCAUCGGCGCAUGAUACAUACAUGCUCCGGAGAGCACACCGGAGAGCACGGAUGCAGCACUGGGCCAACGCGAGGAGCCAUGCAGAUCCAACCACUGCAGAAGCGAGAAAGGUCUGUCCACACAUCUACCUGUCUCUCUGAUCUAGACUCUUCUCUUAGAGUAUUUGACAGACUGUGGUUGACACUCGAUUUAAGGGGGUGUCAGUUUGUCAAAUACCCCAAGAGAGGAGGCACGAGUCUCCAGAGUUCUGCGUUUGAUCCUGUAACCCUCACAUGUUCAACCAUGUUUGCAGUACAUGUGUAAAUUUAGCUACUUAUGCUAAAUAUGCAAAAUGUCUAUGGAAAAAAUAAAUAAGCAGGACCACAAGAAGAGUUUUCCACAUGACAAUUUAUUCAUUUAUAAUGUGCAUUUUUGUUCAUUAGCUCUAUAUUGCUGCAAUCUUUCUGGGUGGGUGAACGGGUAGACUGGAUACAUAGAUGGAAAAACAAACGCCAGAAAAGUACCAUUAAUGUAGUGCUGUCUGUAUCAGGGAUCAUUAUGUUAUAAUAAAGUACUCUUACACUCUCAACAUGAUUCAGAUAACCGGUGUUCAGCGUUCUGAGGACACUGACAGCUGCUGGUGACAGUUGAAAAUUGUUAGUAUGUGCUGUAAUGCGAAUAGGAGUAUCUGUAUUUCCGUGAAUUCUGUGAAAUGUUUUGUUUACCUUUAGUAAUUCAAUUCUGUGUACAGCGGUUGUUUAGGAACAAGAAACAAUAAUUACUCAUUUUAGACAUGUAAUUUUAUCAGGUUCGUGAGAAAAAUACAUUUGCUUUUCCAGAAAGAAACACUGGUGCUUGCAAGGCUGCAUAAGAAUGGUUUGUUUAAUGCUUGUUUUCUGUCAUUAUGAAUUGAACUGAGAAGGCCAACUUUCAAUUUAAAUCUGGAAACUGAAUUUAUUUUGAAUUAAAGUAGCAAAUAAAAAUUAGAAUUUAAUUGUUUAAUUAUUUUUGAUUUAAGUACAAUUUACAAAGUGUAAAGGAAAGUUUGUAUGUAAUAAAUAAAAAUUUUUUUAGCAUUAA